rnacentral:sRNA from 1 species
UCCGUAGGUGAACCUGCGGAAGGAUCAUUAAUGAUUUUUAAAGCGAGUCGAGCGUUUAAGCGAGGCUUUGCGAAAAUAUUUAAAACCCCACUCUUUUUAACUUUAAAAAAAUAAAUCAUGAUGCAUGAAUUUAAAAAAAGGAUCACUUUCAACAACGGAUCUCUUGGCUCUCGCAUCGAUGAAGAACGCAGCGAAAUGCGAUAAGUAGUGUGAAUUGCAUAAUUUUGUGAAUCAUCGAAUCUUUGAACGCAAAUUGCACUCCCUGGUAUUCCGGGGAGUAUGCCUGUUUGAGGGUCGUUAGAAUAAAAAAUCGAGGCGUCGCUCUUUUUUUUAAGGGUGAUCGCGUCGGAAUUGAGCCGUCUUUCAAAUGUUAAUUCAUGUCAAAGUGGCUUGAAAUUCAUCCAUCCGGUACGAUUAAGCGUAUUUAAGAUCAAUUUUGAUUGAGAACGCGCGAUGACGUACCAUCUCAUGUAGUACGUUUGACUUGGCGUCGUCAGGAUCAUUCGUAUACGAUACUCAAACUUUUGACCUCAAAUCAGGUAAGAAUACCCGCUGAACUUAAGCAUAUCAAUAAGCGGAGGAAAAGAAAAUAACAAUGAUUCCCUCAGUAACGGCGAGCGAAGGGGGAUAAGCUCAAAUUUUAAAUCUGUUGGGUUCCGCUUAACAGAGUUGUAUUUUGAAGAAACGUUUUCUGCGUCCAGGAUUAGCCUAAAUCCUUUGGGAUAAGGUAUCAUGGAGGGUGAGAAUCCCGUUCAUGGUUAAUCUUAAGGAAGCUCUACGAUACGUUUUCCAAGAGUCGAGUUGUUUGGGAUUGCAGCUCAAAAUGGGAGGUAAAUUUCUCCUAAGGCUAAAUAUUGGCGAGAGACCGAUAGCGAACAAGUACCGUGAGGGAAAGAUGAAAAGAACUUUGAAAAGAGAGUUAAACAGUACGUGAAAUUGUUGAAAGGGAAACGCUUGAAGU